UACGAAGGGGGCUAGCGUUGCUCGGAAUGAUCUGGGCGUAAAAGGGCGCGUAGGCGGUGCUAGUUUGGUCAGGCGUAGAAUUCCUGGGCUUAACCUGGGGACUGCGCUUGAGACGGGAUCGGUGCUGGAGGGCAGGAGAGGCUCGGCGGAAUUCCCGAGUGUAGAGGUGAAAUUCGUGAGAUAUUGGGAAGAACACCGGAUGGC
rnacentral:rRNA from 1 species